AAGAACGGACUUCCGGAACAAAUUAAGUACUUAACCCGAGGUACCACUUUGCUGGUUAUGGAUGGCAUCAGAACAGUGGUACCUCUGGUUAAGUACUUAAUUCGUUCCGGAG